rnacentral:rRNA from 1 species
AUGUGUGUCUUCGGUCAGAUUCUCAGUUCGUGUGAAUGGCGAGCUACUUCCGUAUUUUACUCCGUCUCGGGGCUGCGGCAAGGGGAUCCCGUGUCACCGUUUUUGUUCCUAUUGUGUGUCGAGGGACUGACCUCACUACUGAAUUAUUACGGUGGUGCUUAUAUUGACAGUGGUAUUUGGGUUUCUCCUAGCUCACCAUGGGUUAGUCACCUUUUGUUUGCCGAUGAUAGCCUUAUUUUCAUUAGUGCAAAGGUUGAAAGUGCGGACAGGCUAAAUCUUGCAAAUCUAUGCUGCUUGUUCGGACAGAGAGUUAAUAGGGAGAAAAGUGCAGUUUUCUUCAGUCCUAAUACGCCAAGAAAUAACAUACAGAUCAUGAAGCAAAGGUUGGGUAUACUUGUUGAAGCUUUCAGUGAUAGAUAUCUUGGGCUUCCAACUGCUGUUGGGAGGAUCACAAGUGGGACCUUUGAUCACAUCGGCGAGAGGGCUCGUAGCAAAAUUCAGGGUUGGUCAGAGAAGAAAGCAUGUGCUGGGCGCGAGACAUUGCUGAAAUCAGUAGUUCAGGCCAUCCCAACUUUUAGUAUGAGCUGCUUUCGGUUAACAAAGAAAGUAUGCAAAGGUAUUACCUCGUGUAUGGGGAAAUACUGGUGGGGAAGUUCUCUUGAUCGGAGGUCUCUCCAUUGGAUCUCAUGGAAGAAACUUUCCUCGCCAAAGAUCGAUGGUUUUUUUUAA